rnacentral:rRNA from 1 species
AUUGAACGCUGGCGGCAGGCCUAACACAUGCAAGUCGAACGAAGUCUUCGGACUUAGUGGCGGACGGGUGAGUAACACGUGGGAACGUGCCUUUAGGUUCGGAAUAACUCAGGGAAACUUGUGCUAAUACCGAAUGUGCCCUCCGGGGGAAAGAUUUAUCGCCUUUAGAGCGGCCCGCGUCUGAUUAGCUAGUUGGUGAGGUAAAGGCUCACCAAGGCGACGAUCAGUAGCUGGUCUGAGAGGAUGAUCAGCCACAUUGGGACUGAGACACGGCCCAAACUCCUACGGGAGGCAGUAGUGGGGAAUCUUGCGCAAUGGGCGAAAGCCUGACGCAGCCAUGCCGCGUGAAUGAUGAAGGUCUUAGGAUUGUAAAAUUCUUUCACCGGGGACGAUAAUGACGGUACCCGGAGAAGAAGCCCCGGCUAACUUCGUGCCAGCAGCCGCGGUAACAC